GGCCGCGAAUUCGCCCUUAGGGUUUGAUUAUGGCUCAGGAUGAACGCUGGCGGCAUGCCUAAUACAUGCAAGUCAAACGGGGUGCUUGCACCCAGUGGCGAACGGGUGAGUAACACGUAUCUAAUCUACCUACUAGAGGGGGAUAACAGUUGGAAACGACUGCUAAUACCGCAUAAUAUUUUCGGUGGCAUCACUGAAAAUUGAAAGAUCCGCUUGGAUCACUAGUAGAUGAGGAUGCGGCGUAUUGGCUUGUUGGUGGGGUAGUGGCCUACCAAGGCGAUGAUACGUAGCCGACCUGAGAGGGUGAUCGGCCACAUCGGGACUGAGACACGGCCCGAACUUCUACGGAAGGCAGCACUAGGGAAUUUUUCACAAUGGACGAAAGUCUGAUGGAGCAAUGCCGCGUGAUUGAAGACGGUCUUCGGAUUGUAGGGAUCUGUUGUAAGGGAAGAACAGCUAAUAU
rnacentral:rRNA from 1 species